rnacentral:rRNA from 1 species
CCCUUUGGGUGUGACUGCGUACCUUUUGUAUAAUGGGUCAGCGACUUAUAUUCUGUAGCAAGGUUAACCGAAUAGGGGAGCCGGAGGGAAACCGAGUCUUAACCGGGCGUUAAGUUGCAGGGUAUAGACCCGAAACCCGGUGAUCUAGCCAUGGGCAGGUUGAAGGUUGGGUAACACUAACUGGAGGACCGAACCGACUAAUGUUGAAAAAUUAGCGGAUGACCUGUGGCUGGGGGUGAAAGGCCAAUCAAACCGGGAGAUAGCUGGUUCUCCCCGAAAGCUAUUUAGGUAGCGCCUCGUGAAUUCAUCUCCGGGGGUAGAGCACUGUUUCGGCUAGGGGGCCAUCCCGGCUUACCAACCCGAUGCAAACUGCGAAUACCGGAGAAUGUUAUCACGGGAGACACACGGCGGGUGCUAACGUCCGUCGUGAAGAGGGAAACAACCCAGACCGCCAGCUAAGGUCCCAAAGUCAUGGUUAAGUGGGAAACGAUGUGGGAAGGCCCAGACAGCCAGGAUGUUGGCUUAGAAGCAGCCAUCAUUUAAAGAAAGCGUAAUAGCUCACUGGUCGAGUCGGCCUGCGCGGAAGAUGUAACGGGGCUAAACCAUGCACCGAAGCUGCGGCAGCGACACUGUGUGUUGUUGGGUAGGGGAGCGUUCUGUAAGCCUGUGAAGGUGUGUCGUGAGGCAUGCUGGAGGUAUCAGAAGUGCGAAUGCUGACAUAAGUAACGAUAAAGCGGGUGAAAAGCCCGCUCGCCGGAAGACCAAGGGUUCCUGUCCAACGUUAAUCGGGGCAGGGUGAGUCGACCCCUAAGGCGAGGCCGAAAGGCGUAGUCGAUGGGAAACGGGUUAAUAUUCCCGUACUUGGUGUUACUGCGAAGGGGGGACGGAGAAGGCUAUGUUGGCCGGGCGACGGUUGUCCCGGUUUAAGCGUGUAGGUGUGUGUUCCAGGUAAAUCCGGUUCACUUUAACACUGAGGCGUGACGACGAGGCACUACGGUGCUGAAGCAACAAAUGCCCUGCUUCCAGGAAAAGCCUCUAAGCAUCAGGUAACAUCAAAUCGUACCCCAAACCGACACAGGUGGUCAGGUAGAGAAUACCAAGGCGCUUGAGAGAACUCGGGUGAAGGAACUAGGCAAAAUGGUGCCGUAACUUCGGGAGAAGGCACGCUGACACGUAGGUGAAGUGAUUUACUCAUGGAGCUGAA